UACGGGGGGGGCAAGCGUUGUUCGGAAUUACUGGGCGUAAAGGGCUCGUAGGUGGCCAACUAAGUCAGACGUGAAAUCCCUCGGCUUAACUGGGGAACUGCGUCUGAUACUGGAUGGCUUGAGUUCGGGAGAGGGAUGCGGAAUUCCAGGUGUAGCGGUGAAAUGCGUAGAUAUCUGGAGGAACACCGGUGGCGAAGGCGGCAUCCUGGACCGACACUGACGCUGAGGAGCGAAAGCCAGGGGAGCAAACGGG
rnacentral:rRNA from 1 species